rnacentral:rRNA from 1 species
GAGUUUGAUCCUGGCUCAGGAUGAACGCUAGCGGCAGGCCUAAUACAUGCAAGUCGAACGGUUCUAGCAAUAGAAUAGUGGCGCACGGGUGCGUAACGCGUAACCAACCUACCCACAACUGGGGGAUAGCCCGCCGAAAGGCGGAUUAAUACCGCAUAAGACUACAGUGUGGCAUCACAUAGUAGUUAAAGAUUUAUUGGUUGUGGAUGGGGUUGCGUAGCAUUAGCUAGAUGGCGGGGUAACGGCCCACCAUGGCGACGAUGCUUAGGGGACCUGAGAGGGUGAUCCCCCACACUGGCACUGAGAUACGGGCCAGACUCCUACGGGAGGCAGCAGUAGGGAAUAUUGGGCAAUGGCCGAGAGGCUGACCCAGCCAUGCCGCGUGCCGGACGAAGGCCUUCUGGGUUGUAAACGGCUUUUCUCAGGGAAGAAAAAGGGGAUGCGUCCCAAACUGACGGUACCUGAGGAAUAAGCACCGGCUAACUCCGUGCCAGCAGCCGCGGUAAUACGGAGGGUGCAAGCGCUGUCCGGAUUUAUUGGGUUUAAAGGGUGCGUAGGUGGCUUGUUAAGUCCGGGGUGAAAGCCCACAGCUCAACCGUGGAACUGCCCUGGAUACUGGCAGGCUUGAGAGUAGUCGAGGGUGGCGGAAUGGACGGUGUAGCGGUGAAAUGCAUAGAUACCGUCCAGAACCCCAAUUGCGUAGGCAGCUGCCUAGGCUACAUCUGACACUGAGGCACGAAAGCGUGGGGAGCGAACAGGAUUAGAUACCCUGGUAGUCCACGCCGUAAACGAUGGAUACUCGUUGCCAGCGAUAGACUGUUGGUGACUUA